UGGGGAAUUUUGGACAAUGGGCGAAAGCCUGAUCCAGCAAUGCCGCGUGUGUGAAGAAGGCCUUCGGGUUGUAAAGCACUUUUGUCCGGAAAGAAAUCCUUGGCUCUAAUACAGUCGGGGGAUGACGGUACCGGAAGAAUAAGCACCGGCUAACUACGUGCCAGCAGCCGCGGUAAUACGUAGGGUGCAAGCGUUAAUCGGAAUUACUGGGCGUAAAGCGUGCGCAGGCGGUUUGCUAAGACCGAUGUGAAAUCCCCGGGCUCAACCUGGGAACUGCAUUGGUGACUGGCAGGCUAGAGUAUGGCAGAGGGGGGUAGAAUUCCACGCNUAGCAGUGAAAUGCGUAGAGAUGUGGAGGAAUACCGAUGGCGAAGGCAGCCCCCUGGGCCAAUACUGACGCUCAUGCACGAAAGCGUGGGGAGCAAACAGGAUUAGAUACCCUGGUAGUCCACGCCCUAAACGAUGUCAACUAGUUGUUGGGGAUUCAUUUCCUUAGUAACGUAGCUAACGCGUGAAGUUGACCGCCUGGGGAGUACGGUCGCAAGAUUAAAACUCAAAUGAA
rnacentral:rRNA from 1 species